GGGAAAUGCUAUUAAUAACGGCCAAGACGUUCGUUCACGACACAGUGGAGGCUGGAUGCUUCCACAUGGGGAAGGGCUAAGGGAAACUUGCAUCUCUCUUCCUGCUGUAUUCUGAGAAGGUGGGUUCUGGAGUCUAGAGUUUCCAAGAGCCAGCACUGGUGCUUUCCACGCAUUCCCAUUUGCCACGGUCCUGCCUUCUUUAGCAUUCCCUAACACCUCAACAAGUCUGUCCUUCUGAUCUCCUGGUUUCCUUAGUCCCUUCGGGCCUUCCCUUUUCUUUCCUGGUCUUUCUUUGUCCCAGAGUUUCUCUUGCUAUCUUGUAUCUGGCUGUGUGCAUCUAUCUUUCUCUAGAAAACUCUAUCUGUUUUGUUCUUUCAACAUGUGACCUUGACCCACUUCCGUUCCGUCCUCACCACUCUCAUCUGGGUCCUAGAAGCUUGAAGCGCCUUGCAGUCUACAGCCUGAGAUAAGUCGUAUUCUGGGAAGUGUGUUGAGGAAUGAUUAAAUUGGCAGUGUGUUUUGAGACGAAAGGGACAGCCUAAUGAUACCGUUGGCAUGCAUGCACUUUCCAUAAGGCUGGAGAUUUCUCUCUGUUCAAUUGCUAAUUACUCAUAGGCUUUGUGUCUCAUGCUGGGAACCAGCCUUCAAGGAGCAGGGGAGUUUUAGGUAGAAGCAUAAUCCUGUUUCAGGUAACUUUCCUCAGCAGAGAUGAAUCCCCAAGAGGCUGGCAAAGGAGAACUGCAGAGCUUCUCUUAUGAGCUCCUUAGGAGUCAAGGCCUGGGAAGGACUGGUUAUUGGACCACGGGUGCUCUUUCCUCUCCUGACUACAUAGCCAGAACAUCUGGGCAGCUGACCCUUCCUUGCUCCUUUCCGACAGCAUCUGCAUUGGCUUUCAAUGGUUUU
rnacentral:lncRNA from 1 species